rnacentral:rRNA from 1 species
AUUGAACGCUGGCGGCCGGCCUAACACAUGCAAGUCGAGCGGAGCGGCGGACGGGUGAGUAAUGCCUAGGAAUCUGCUGGUUGUGGGGGGUUACGUUCGGAAACGGGCGCUUAUACCGCAUACCAUUAGAUUAGCCUAGGUCGGAUUAGCUAGUUGGUGGGGUAAAGGCCUACCAAGGCGACGAUCCGUAACUGGUCUGAGAGGAUGAUCAGUCACACUGGAACUGAGACACGGUCCAGACUCCUACGGGAGGCAGCAGUGGGUAAUAUUGGACAAUGGGCGAAAGCCUGAACCAGCCAUGCCGCGUGUGUGAAGAAGGUCUUCGGAUUGUAAAGCACUUUAAGUUGGGAGGCGUUACCAACAGAAUAAGCACCGGCUAACUUCGUGCCAGCAGCCGCGGUAAUU